AGAUCAUGAUAUGGGCAAUUCCUUAGAAGACUUUUGUAUCUCUCCCAUGCCUCAUAUAAGGAUUCUCCAUCUUGUUGUUCAAAGUUGGCAAUAGCUUUCUUCAACUU